rnacentral:rRNA from 1 species
AGUGAACGCUGGCGGCGUGCUUAACACAUGCAAGUCGAACGAGAACGGAAUAUAGCUUGCUAUAUUUGUCAGCUAAGUGGCGCACGGGUGAGUAAUGUAUAGAUAACCUGCCCUUAAGAAAGGAAUAACAGUUGGAAACGACUGAUAAUGCACUAUAUGCCUUUAAUACAUAAGUAUGCAAGGGAAACGCUUUAGUGCUUAAGGAUGGGUCUGUAUGGUAUCAGCUUGUUGGUGAGGUAAUGGCUCACCAAGGCUAUGACGCCUAACUGGUUUGAGAGGAUGAUCAGUCACACUGGAACUGAGACACGGUCCAGACUCCUACGGGAGGCAGCAGUGGGGAAUAUUGCACAAUGGACGAAAGUCUGAUGCAGCAACGCCGCGUGGAGGAUGACACAUUUCGGUGCGUAAACUCCUUUUAUAUAGGAAGAUAAUGACGGUACUAUAUGAAUAAGCACCGGCUAACUCCGUGCCAGCCGCCGCUGUAA